AACACACUAGCUCAAUUGGUAGAGCAGUCAUUUUCUCGAAUGACCGGUUGCUGGUUCAACUCCAGUGUGGAUUCCCA
rnacentral:tRNA from 1 species